GUGAAGCUUGAGCAAUCUGUCAUCUCAAAGCAUCGACGGAAAAGCUCCCUUGUGUAGAGUUUUUUAAAAUUGGAGAUGACCUGCUGGUCCAUUGGCUGGAGUAGUGGGGUGGUGUUAGGCGGAAGGAAGGAACAUGACCUUGAUGAAAUUAAAGUCCUCCAGCAAGUCUUCCUCGAGGCCUGGAGGAUGGGCAGGAGCAUUGUCCAUGAGCAGCAUGGCCUUGAGAGGCAGGUUAUUGUCCAUAAGGUACUUCUUCACAGCAGGAACAAAAAACGCAUUGACCCACUUCACAAACAAGAGACGUGUGACCAAAGCCUUUGGGUUAGACUGCCACAAAACGCUCAACUGCUCCUUGUUCACCUUGUGUUUCUUGAAGGCCCGUGGGUUCUCUGAAUGGUAGACAAGCAGGGGCUUGAUCUUAAGGUCCCCACUGGCGUUGGCGCAGAACAGGAGGGUGAGACAGUCCUUCAUCGGCUUGUGGCCAGGCAAUGAGGUCUCCUCUUCUGUGAUGAAGGUACGCUUUGGCAUCCUCUUCCAGAAGAAUCCAGUCUCGUCGCAGUUG